rnacentral:misc_RNA from 1 species
UGGCUCUCGCAUCGAUGAAGAACGCAGCGAAAUGCGAUAAGUAAUGUGAAUUGCAGAAUUCAGUGAAUCAUCGAAUCUUUGAACGCACCUUGCGCUCCUUGGUAUUCCGAGGAGCAUGCCUGUUUGAGUGUCAUGGUAUUCUCAAUCCAUUUGUCUCUGUCAAAUGGCAUUGGAUGUGGAGGAUUUUGCUGGUCUUGUUUCUGAUCGGCUCCUCUGAAAUAUAUCAGCAUGGAAUAUGUUGCUGCCUUUAGUGUGAUAAUUAUCUACGCUGUGUGGCUUGGCUUUACUAUGUUUUAUGCUUUCUAAUCGUCUGUUAAUUCGGACAAUUUUAUUGACAUCUGACCUCAAAUCAGGUAGGACUACCCGCUGA